rnacentral:lncRNA from 1 species
GGUAACUUUGAAGGCUUGCUGCUUUCCCACCUUGGGGCUCUGGUCAUCAAUUUCCUUCAGCUCAGGUUUUUCAGCUGCUGCUGUUUUGAUUGACAUCUGUCAGUCAGUAAGUCAUUCUUUGCCUUCUGGGCUUGAGUUCCCUGGUCAUAUAGUGAGGGACACAACCUGUCAUACACAACCAGAUGACACGGCUGGAUGCAACAAGCAGAGCUGCUGUCUGCUCAGAGCCAACCCUCAGGACUUCCCAAGUGUUCGCUGUCUUGGUAUCUGCUCCACUCUCCGUCAAGGACAUCCAGCUUCCUCACAGAGGCCAGCACAGGCUCCAGGUAGCGGCUGAGCAGAAAAAGCCUAGAAGGCUCCAUAGUUUGCAGAGCCCAUAACUUACCAAGAAAAUAAACCCGUGAGCAGGUACCUGUGAUCCUCAACGACAAUGAAGGACUUUGUAGGGUGGGACUCCUUGGGCUGAGGCCGUGUGGAUCUCCUUCCCACCAAGCUGUUUUCCCAAACUCUCAGUACGGAAAGUGAAAGGAAGGGCGCUGACUGGGCAGGCCGGGGUGAGCCGCCAUGGAAACAUCG